GUGGAUAUUCCUUCUAUGGUUACGUGCUUCCUGGAUAAUCAUAGAGGAACAUCCACUU
rnacentral:pre_miRNA from 2 species